rnacentral:rRNA from 1 species
UACGGAGGAUGCGAGCGUUAUCCGGAUUUAUUGGGUUUAAAGGGUGCGUAGGCGGGCUUUUAAGUCAGCGGUAAAAAUUCGGGGCUCAACCCCGUCCGGCCGUUGAAACUAGGGGCCUUGAGUGGGCGAGAAGAAGGCGGAAUGCGUGGUGUAGCGGUGAAAUGCAUAGAUAUCACGCAGAACCCCGAUUGCGAAGGCAGCCUUCCGGCGCCCUACUGACGCUGAGGCACGAAAGUGCGGGGAUCGAACAGG